rnacentral:rRNA from 1 species
AACGAACGCUGGCGGCGUGCCUAACACAUGCAAGUCGAGCGCGAAUGGAGCAAUCCUAGUAGAGCGGCGCACGGGUGCGUAACACGUGGGUAAUCUGCCUCAAAGCCCGGGAUAACCUGCCGAAAGGCAAGCUAAUACCGGAUAAGCCUACGGACUCUUCGGGGUCUGAAGGAAAAGGUGGCCUCUGUAUACAAGCUAUCACUUUGAGAUGAGCCCGCGGCCCAUCAGCUCGUUGGCGGGGUAACGGCCCACCAAGGCAACGACGGGUAGCUGGUCUGAGAGGACGAUCAGCCACACUGGAACUGAGACACGGUCCAGACUCCUACGGGAGGCAGCAGUGGGGAAUUUUGCGCAAUGGGCGGAAGCCUGACGCAGCGACGCCGCGUGGGGGAUGACGGCCUCGG